AAUGAACGCUGGUGGCAUGCCUAACACAUGCAAGUCGAACGAGACGCCGACUUCGGUCAGCUGACAGUGGCGCACGGGUGAGUAUAAGAUAGGUAUCUGCCUUACACUGGGGGAUAACAUUCAGAAAUGAAUGCUAAUACCGCAUACGCCAUAUUGGGAAAGCUCCGGCGGUGUAAGAUGAGCCUAUCCAGGAUUAGCUGGUUGGUGAGGUAAAAGCUCACCAAGGCAACGAUCCUUAGCGGGUUUGAGAGGAUGAUCCGCCACACUGGAACUGAGACACGGUCCAG
rnacentral:rRNA from 1 species